rnacentral:rRNA from 1 species
UCUGAUGUUAGCGGCGGACGGGUGAGUAACACGUGGAUAACCUACCUAUAAGACUGGGAUAACUUCGGGAAACCGGAGCUAAUACCGGAUAAUAUUUUGAACCGCAUGGUUCAAAAGUGAAAGACGGUCUUGCUGUCACUUAUAGAUGGAUCCGCGCUGCAUUAGCUAGUUGGUAAGGUAACGGCUUACCAAGGCAACGAUGCAUAGCCGACCUGAGAGGGUGAUCGGCCACACUGGAACUGAGACACGGUCCAGACUCCUACGGGAGGCAGCAGUAGGGAAUCUUCCGCAAUGGGCGAAAGCCUGACGGAGCAACGCCGCGUGAGUGAUGAAGGUCUUCGGAUCGUAAAACUCUGUUAUUAGGGAAGAACAUAUGUGUAAGUAACUGUGCACAUCUUGACGGUACCUAAUCAGAAAGCCACGGCUAACUACGUGCCAGCAGCCGCGGUAAUACGUAGGUGGCAAGCGUUAUCCGGAAUUAUUGGGCGUAAAGCGCGCGUAGGCGGUUUUUUAAGUCUGAUGUGAAAGCCCACGGCUCAACCGUGGAGGGUCAUUGGAAACUGGAAAACUUGAGUGCAGAAGAGGAAAGUGGAAUUCCAUGUGUAGCGGUGAAAUGCGCAGAGAUAUGGAGGAACACCAGUGGCGAAGGCGACUUUCUGGUCUGUAACUGACGCUGAUGUGCGAAAGCGUGGGGAUCAAACAGGAUUAGAUACCCUGGUAGUCCACGCCGUAAACGAUGAGUGCUAAGUGUUAGGGGGUUUCCGCCCCUUAGUGCUGCAGCUAACGCAUUAAGCACUCCGCCUGGGGAGUACGACCGCAAGGUUGAAACUCAAAGGAAUUGACGGGGACCCGCACAAGCGGUGGAGCAUGUGGUUUAAUUCGAAGCAACGCGAAGAACCUUACCAAAUCUUGACAUCCUUUGACAACUCUAGAGAUAGAGCUUUCCCCUUCGGGGGACAAAGUGACAGGUGGUGCAUGGUUGUCGUCAGCUCGUGUCGUGAGAUGUUGGGUUAAGUCCCGCAACGAGCGCAACCCUUAAGCUUAGUUGCCAUCAUUAAGUUGGGCACUCUAAGUUGACUGCCGGUGACAAACCGGAGGAAGGUGGGGAUGACGUCAAAUCAUCAUGCCCCUUAUGAUUUGGGCUACACACGUGCUACAAUGGACAAUACAAAGGGCAGCGAAACCGCGAGGUCAAGCAAAUCCCAUAAAGUUGUUCUCAGUUCGGAUUGUAGUCUGCAACUCGACUACAUGAAGCUGGAAUCGCUAGUAAUCGUAGAUCAGCAUGCUACGGUGAAUACGUUCCCGGGUCUUGUACACACCGCCCGUCACACCACGAGAGUUUGUAACACCCGAAGCCGGUGGAGUAACCUUUUAGGAGCUAGCCGUCGAAGGUGGGACAAAUGAUUGGGGUGAAGUCGUAACAAGGUAGCCGUAUCGGAAGGUGCGGCUGGAUCACCUCCUUU